CCCCAAAGGCCAGGUGUCUUCAGAAGUAGGAAUGAGGGCUAAAAUGAGGAGCAAUUUUAAAACUGCUUAAGAAAAGUAACAGAUACCCAGAUUCGUAAGACACACAGAUCUCUAAUUCCACACAGCAACAAAUAUACUUAUUCUCCAGAAAAGGAUAAAAGAACCUCAGAGCUGGACUGCAGAGGCACAGAUGCGGGGCAAGCCCACCACACU